rnacentral:rRNA from 1 species
AUUGAACGCUGGCGGCAGGCCUAACACAUGCAAGUCGAGCGGCAGCGGGAAAGUAGCUUGCUACUUUUGCCGGCGAGCGGCGGACGGGUGAGUAAUGCCUGGGGAUCUGCCCAGUCGAGGGGGAUAACUACUGGAAACGGUAGCUAAUACCGCAUACGCCUACGGGGGAAAGCCGGGGACCUUCGGGCCUUGCGCGAUUGGAUGAACCCAGGUGGGAUUAGCUAGUUGGUGAGGUAAUGGCUCACCAAGGCGACGAUCCCUAGCUGGUCUGAGAGGAUGAUCAGCCACACUGGAACUGAGACACGGUCCAGACUCCUACGGGAGGCAGCAGUGGGGAAUAUUGCACAAUGGGGGAAACCCUGGUGCAGCCAUGCCGCGUGUGUGAAGAAGGCCUUCGGGUUGUAAAGCACUUUCAGCGAGGAGGAAAGGUUGGUAGCUAAUAACUGCCAGCUGUGACGUUACUCGCAGAAGAAGCACCGGCUAACUCCGUGCCAGCAGCCGCAGUAACAC